ACUAUUUUGGCAGAUAAGUGUAAUGAAUUUAGAAUUCAUAUAUGUGAUAUUCACAAAUAGUA
rnacentral:tRNA from 1 species